AUGCUUGCUUUGGCACCACAUAUACUAAAAAAUUGGAAUAAUGCAGAGAAGAUUAGCAUGGUCCCUGCGCAAGGAUGACAUGCAAAUUCGUGAAGCAUUCUAUAUAUAU
rnacentral:snRNA from 1 species